rnacentral:rRNA from 1 species
AUUGAACGCUGGCGGCAUGCUUUACACAUGCAAGUCGAACGGUAACAGGCCUUCGGGUGCUGACGAGUGGCGAACGGGUGAGUAAUGCAUCGGAACGUGCCCAGAGGUGGGGGAUAACGCAGCGAAAGCUGUGCUAAUACCGCAUGUGAUCUGAGGAUGAAAGCGGGGGACCAGGCAGCAAUGUUUGGCCUCGCGCCUUUGGAGCGGCCGAUGUCAGAUUAGGUAGUUGGUGGGGUAAAGGCCUACCAAGCCGACGAUCUGUAGCUGGUCUGAGAGGACGACAAGCCACACUGGGACUGAGACACGGCCCAGACUCCUACGGGAGGCAGCAGUGGGGAAUUUUGGACAAUGGGCGCAAGCCUGAUCCAGCAAUGCCGCGUGCGGGAAGAAGGCCUUCGGGUUGUAAACCGCUUUUGUACGGAACGAAAAGGCUCUGGCUAAUACCUGGGGCUGAUGACGGUACCGUAAGAAUAAGCACCGGCUAACUACGUG